rnacentral:lncRNA from 1 species
UGAUCUGGCGGGCACACAGUGCAAUGUGAAAGCAGGUGUGCGUGCACACCCACACCCGCAUGCCCACACAUCCAUACAGUCCACACCAUCACACACACACACCCACACACAUCCAUACAGUCCAUACCAUCACACACACCCGCACACAUCCAUACAGUCCACACCAUCACACACACACCCGCACACAUCCAUACAGUCCACACCAUAACACACACACACAUCUAUACAGUCCACACCGUCACACACACACACAUCUAUACAGUCCACACCUGUUACAUGCACACAUCUAUACAGUCCACACCGUCACACAUCCAUACAGUCCACACCGUCAUACACACACACAUCUAUACAGUCCACACCGUCUCACAUCUAUACAGUCCACACUGUCAUACACACACAUCUAUACAGUCCACACCGUCACACAUCCAUAUAGUCCACACCAUCAUACACACACACAUCUCUACAGUCCACACCAUCACAUGCACACACACAUCUAUAUGGUCUACACCGUCACACACACACACACAUCUAUACAGUCCACACCGUCACAUAUCUGUACAGUCCACACCGUCACACACACACGCCCACACCCGCAUGCCACACAUCCAUACAGUCCACAUUCACGUAUGCCCAUAUGCAUCCAUUCACACGUGUGUACACAUGCUCACACACACACAUUCAUAGACUCCACACAUGCACACGUGCACACACACGCACAUGCUCGC